AAGUGACUGUUCUCACAGGGGGCAGUAAAAUGCAUCUUCACCUGUAUAGCCAAAAAUCCUUGCACCCAACCUUUCUAUAUCUCCUUUCAUUCCAGCUGUAUAUAUUUCGAUGUGAGCCGGCAUACUAGGGAUCCCCUACACGGCAAGCAGCCCUCAGCUUUCCAUGUGAAGUGUUCAAACCAUGAAUAAACCUAUUCACUAGCAAUUUUAUCAUAGCUCAUAGCCUUUCUGUGUGUGACUCAAGCUCCCAGCAUGCUUAGCUAACCAUAUGCUGUCUAAAUUUGCCCAAA